rnacentral:rRNA from 1 species
UGGGGAAUAUUGGACAAUGGGCGCAAGCCUGAUCCAGCCAUACCGCGUGGGUGAAGAAGGCCUUCGGGUUGUAAAGCCCUUUUGUUGGGAAAGAAAUCCAGCUGGCUAAUACCCGGUUGGGAUGACGGUACCCAAAGAAUAAGCACCGGCUAACUUCGUGCCAGCAGCCGCGGUAAUACGAAGGGUGCAAGCGUUACUCGGAAUUACUGGGCGUAAAGCGUGCGUAGGUGGUCGUUUAAGUCCGUUGUGAAAGCCCUGGGCUCAACCUGGGAACUGCAGUGGAUACUGGGCGACUAGAGUGUGGUAGAGGGUAGCGGAAUUCCUGGUGUAGCAGUGAAAUGCGUAGAGAUCAGGAGGAACAUCCAUGGCGAAGGCAGCUACCUGGACCAACACUGACACUGAGGCACGAAAGCGUGGGGAGCAAACAGGAUUAGAUACCCUGGUAGUCCACGCCCUAAACGUGCGAACUGGAUGUUGGGUGCAAUUUGGCACGCAGUAUCGAAGCUAACGCGUUAAGUUCGCCGCCUGGGGAGUACGGUCGCAAGACUG